rnacentral:rRNA from 1 species
CAUNGCAGUCGAACGAUGAUGCCCAGCUUGCUGGGUGGAUUAGUGGCGAACGGGUGAGUAACACGUGAGUAACCUGCCCCUGACUCUGGGAUAAGCGUUGGAAACGACGUCUAAUACUGGAUAUGAUCACUGGCCGCAUGGUCUGGUGGUGGAAAGAUUUUUUGGUUGGGGAUGGACUCGCGGCCUAUCAGCUUGUUGGUGAGGUAAUGGCUCACCAAGGCGACGACGGGUAGCCGGCCUGAGAGGGUGACCGGCCACACUGGGACUGAGACACGGCCCAGACUCCUACGGGAGGCAGCAGUGGGGAAUAUUGCACAAUGGGCGAAAGCCUGAUGCAGCAACGCCGCGUGAGGGAUGACGGCCUUCGGGUUGUAAACCUCUUUUAGUAGGGAAGAAGCGAAAGUGACGGUACCUGCAGAAAAAGCACCGGCUAACUACGUGCCAGCAGCCGCGGUAAUACGUAGGGUGCAAGCGUUGUCCGGAAUUAUUGGGCGUAAAGAGCUCGUAGGCGGUUUGUCGCGUCUGCUGUGAAAUCCCGAGGCUCAACCUCGGGCUUGCAGUGGGUACGGGCAGACUAGAAGUGCGGUAGGGGAGAUUGGAAUUCCUGGUGUAGCGGUGGAAUGCGCAGAUAUCAGGAGGAACACCGAUGGCGAAGGCAGAUCUCUGGGCCGUAACUGACGCUGAGGAGCGAAAGCAUGGCGAGCGAACAGGAUUAGAUACCCUGGUAGUCCAUGCCGUNNACGUUGCGCGCUAGAUGUAGAGACCUUUCCACGGUUUCUGUGUCGUAGCUGACGCAUUAAGCGCCCCGCCUGGNGAGUACGGCCGCAAGGCUAAAACUCAAAGGAAUUGACGGCGGCCCGCACANGCGGCGGAGCAUGCGGAUUAAUUCGAUGCAACGCGAAGAACUUACCACGGCUUGACUUACACCGGAAACGGNNNNAGANGUCGCCCCCUUGUGGUCNUGUCCAGNGGUGCAGGGUGUCUUC